AAAUGGAUUUGGUGCAACUCAAUCGACUACGAUCAAGACUCUUCGGAUGGUGAAUUUACCGCGGAAACAAGACAACACAUUUCGCCUCACUUCCUGACCAAAAUCGAAUCAUUCUCCUUGCUUUCCGAGUACGGGAUUGAAAAGUACGAAACAAGAGUAUUCGAAUCCGGAGAUUACAAAUGGAGACUCAUAAUCUAUCCCGAUGGGAACGAGAGCCAAGAUAAAGGCAAUCAUGUUUCCGUAUACCUAGCCAUGGCUGACACUAGCUCAUUACCUGUAGAUUGGGAGAUUGAUGCAAUC